UACGUAGGGGGCUAGCGUUGUCCGGAAUCAUUGGGCGUAAAGCGCGUGUAGGCGGUCCGGUAAGUCCGCUGUGAAAGUCGAGGGCUCAACCCUCGAAUGCCGGUGGAUACUGUCGGGCUUGAGUACGGAAGAGGCGAGUGGAAUUCCUGGUGUAGCGGUGAAAUGCGCAGAUAUCAGGAGGAACACCAAUGGCGAAGGCAGCCCCCUGGGCUAACACUGACGCUCAGGCACGAAAGCGUGGGGAGCAAACAGG
rnacentral:rRNA from 1 species